rnacentral:rRNA from 1 species
GACGGAGGGUGCAAGCGUUGUUCGGAUUGACUGGGCGUAAAGGGCGUGUAGGCGGUUGGUCAAGUCCGAUGUGAAAGCCCGGAGCUCAGCUCCGGAAGUGCAUCGGAAACUAGCCAGCUGGAGCGCGAUAGAGGAGGGUGGAAUUCCUGGUGUAGCGGUGAAAUGCGUAGAUAUCAGGAGGAACACCGGCGGCGAAGGCGGCCCUCUGGAUCGUUGCCGACGCUGAGACGCGAAAGCGUGGGGAGCAAACAGGAUUAGAUACCCUGGUAGUCCACGCUGUAAACGAUGGGUACUAGGUGUUCGGGGUAUUGACCCCCUGAGUGCCGCAGUUAACGCAUUAAGUACCCCGCCUGGGGACUACGGCCGCAAGGUUAAAACUCA